GCUGGGUGUGGUGGCGCACACCUGUAAUCCCAGCUACUUGGGAGGCUGAGGCAGGAGAAUCUCUUGAACCCAGGAGACAGAGAUUGCAGUGAGCCGAGAUCGCACCAUUGUACUCCAGCCUGGAUGACAGAGAGAGACUCCGUCUCAA
ensembl:misc_RNA Metazoa_SRP Metazoan signal recognition particle RNA